rnacentral:sRNA from 1 species
GCUGCGGCAAAAUCCGCAGCCGGAGUUAGCGUUCCGAACCUGACAUACUACCGCUGUAUUAU